rnacentral:rRNA from 1 species
CGGCGGACGGGUGAGUAACGCGUGGGUAACCUGCCUUGUACUGGGGGACAACAGUUGGAAACGACUGCUAAUACCGCAUAAGCGCACAGCUUCGCAUGAAGCGGUGUGAAAAACUCCGGUGGUACAAGAUGGACCCGCGUCUGAUUAGCUGGUUGGUGAGGUAACGGCCCACCAAGGCAACGAUCAGUAGCCGGCCUGAGAGGGUGAACGGCCACAUUGGGACUGAGACACGGCCCAA